GUUCAUAUACUGGCUGUUGUACAACAUAAAAAAAGAGAUUUCUCUUUUAAGCCAUAGAAAGUGCCUAAUCUCUUCGUAUCACAAUUCUAAAAGUUGUAACGUUGUAUACAAAUUUCUAAAUUUUUACUUCCUAUCUUUGAAAAUUUUCAAUGAAGAUUAUAUGUAACUGUCUCAUAAAGUUGGCUAAUAUUUUUGAAAAAUUCAUGUUAUAUAGUAACCUAUAUCAAUUAAAUAUUCAAUAAUUUCCUCCAUAUUUCAAAUUCUUUACUAAUUUUCAACUCCUGAAAUUGAAAAAAAAUACAAACCUUUUACUCAAAGUAAAACAAAACUCAGAAAGUAUGUUCAGCUCCAGAGCUAUGCUUAAAACUUAGGUAACAGAGCAACAGAUCUUUAGAAUACUUUAAAGGAAAUACAUGAAUAAAAAAUAUUACAC